AGAGUUUGAUCCUGGCUCAGGAUUAACGCUGGCGGCAUGCCUAAUACAUGCAAGUCGAACGAGAGUAGCAAUACUCUAGUGGCGAACGGGUGAGUAACACGUAGGAAACCUGCCUCAAAGUCGAGGAUAACUACUGGAAACGGUAGCUAAAACUGGAUAGGAUAUAUUAAGGCAUCUUGAUAUAUUUAAAAGUCCUUCUGGGAAUGCUUUGAGAUGGUCCUGCGGCGCAUUAGCUAGUUGGUGAGGUAGUAGCUUACCAAGGCGACGAUGCGUAGCUGAGCUGAGAGGCCAAACAGCCACACUGGGACUGAGACACGGCCCAGACUCCUACGGGAGGCAGCAGUAGGGAAUUUUCGGCAAUGGGGGAAACCCUGACCGAGCAAUGCCGCGUGAAUGAUGAAAUUCUUCGGAAUGUAAAAUUCUGUUGUGAGGGAAGAAAGGUAGUAUCAGGAAAUGGGUAUUACUUGACGGUACCUUACUAGAAAGCCCCGGCUAACUAUGUGCCAGCAGCCGCGGUAAUACAUAGGGGGCGAGCGUUAUCCGGAAUUAUUGGGCGUAAAGAGUACGUAGGUGGUUUCCUAAGCACAGGGUUUAAGGCUAAGGCUCAACCAUAGUUCGCCCUGUGAACUGGGAGACUUGAGUGCAGGAGAGGAAAGCGGAAUUCCUAGUGUAGCGGUGAAAUGCGUAGAUAUUAGGAGGAACACCAGUGGCGAAGGCGGCUUUCUGGACUGUAACUGACACUGAGGUACGAAAGCGUGGGGAGCAAACAGGAUUAGAUACCCUGGUAGUCCACGCCGUAAACGAUGAGCACUAGGUGUCGGGGGCCGCAAGGUUUUGGUGCCGCAGUUAACGCAUUAAGUGCUCCGCCUGGGGAGUACGCUCGCAAGUUGAAACUCAAAGGAAUUGACGGGGGACCCGCACAAGCAGCGGAGCAUGUGGUUUAAUUCGAAGCAACGCGAAGAACCUUACCAGGGCUUGACAUCCCUCUGACCGGACUUUAACAGGUCUUUCUCUUCGGAGCAGAGGUGACAGGUAGUGCAUGGUUGUCGUCAGCUCGUGUCGUGAGAUGUUGGGUUAAGUCCCGCAACGAGCGCAACCCUUGUCAUUAGUUGCCAUCAUUAAGUUGGGCACUCUAGUGAGACUGCCGGGGACAACUCGGAGGAAGGUGGGGAUGACGUCAAAUCAUCAUGCCCCUUAUGUUCUGGGCUACACACGUGCUACAAUGGCCGGUACAGAAAGCAGCGAAGUCGUGAGGCGGAGCAAAUCUCCAAAACCGGUCCCAGUUCGGAUUGCAGGCUACAACUCACCUGCAUGAAGUUGGAGUUGCUAGUAAUCGCAGAUCAGAAUGCUGCGGUGAAUGCGUUCCCGGGUCUCGCACAAACCGCCCGUCA
rnacentral:rRNA from 1 species